GCCAAGUCUGAAAGUCUUAGGGGCGGAAAACAAAACUAGCUUGCUGGAAAAACAGGAGCUGAAAGUAGAAGAGGGUGGGGGAGUCCCGGCAUGCCCAUCGGCCUGAGCAGCUGACGACUUCCUGGUCUUGGCGGGCUGGCAGCAGACGGGCUGCAGCAGGCGAGCAGCAACAGUAAAAGGUGACCAUGGCUGCCCACCCCAAAGCCAUGGGGCGGGCACGAGAUGCCAUCCUGGACGCUCUUGAAAACUUGACAGUGGAAGAGCUCAAAAAGUUCAAGAUGAAGCUGCUGUCAGUACCACUGCGCGAAGGCUAUGGGCGCAUCCCACGGGGGACCCUGCUGCCGAUGGAUGCCAUAGACCUCACUGACAAACUUGUCAGCUAUUAUCUGGAGACGUAUGGCUUGGAACUCACAAUGACUGUACUUAGAGACAUGGGCUUGCAGGAGCUGGCUGAGCAGCUGCAAAAGAUUAUGAAAGAGUCUGGAGCUGUGGCAGCUGCAACUGGUGUCCCUGCUCAGAGUACAGCCAGAACAGGACAUUUUGUGGACCUGCACAGACAAGCACUCAUUGCCAGGGUCACAGAAGUUGAUGGUGUGCUGGAUGCUCUAUAUGGCAGGGUGCUGACUGAAGGACAGUAUCAGGCAGUUCGUGCAGAGGCCACCAACCAAAACAAGAUGAGGAAGCUCUUCAGCUUUGCUCCAUCCUGGGACCUGACCUGCAAGGACUUGCUCCUCGAGGCCUUGAGGGAAACACAUCCGUACUUGGUGACGGACCUGGAGCAGAGCUGAGGUCACCAUCAAGAUACAAGCACACUAUGACUACAUGAAAUUACCUUCAAGCUAAGGCCAACACCACAAAGACCUGAAACUUGUCUUCCUGCUUUGGCUUCGGAACACCAAGAAAUGAUGGGCAUCUGUCAUUAACUUGUCUCCAAAAGCUCAAUAAAUGCAAAUACAGCAGUAUCA